rnacentral:misc_RNA from 1 species
AAGUCGUAGCAAGGUCUCCGUAGGUGAACCUGCGGAGGGAUCAUUACAGAGUUCAUGCCCUAACGGGUAGAUCUCCCACCCUAUGUUAUUAUUACUUUGUUGCUUUGGCGGGCCGUCAGGCUCACGCCCGGCUACCGGCUCACGCCGGCAAGUGCCCGCCAGAGUCUACUCAAACUCUUGUUUCAACCGGUCGUCUGAGUUAAAUUUUUGAAUUAAAUCAAAA